AACGAACGCUGGCGGCAUGCCUAACACAUGCAAGUCGAACGAGACCUUCGGGUCUAGUGGCGCACGGGUGCGUAACGUGUGGGAACCUGCCCUUAGGUUCGGAAUAACUCCCCGAAAGGGGUGCUAAUACCGGAUAAUGUCUUCGGACCAAAGAUUUAUCGCCUUUGGAUGGGCCCGCGUUGGAUUAGCUAGUUGGUAGGGUAAAAGCCUACCAAGGCGACGAUCCAUAGCUGGUCUGAGAGGAUGAUCAGCCACACUGGGACUGAGACACGGCCCAGACUCCUACGGGAGGCAGCAGUGGGGAAUAUUGGACAAUGAGCGAAAGCCUGAUCCAGCAAUGCCGCGUGAGUGAUGAAGGCCUUAGGGUUGUAAAGCUCUUUUACCCGGGAUGAUAAUGACAGUACCGGGAGAAUAAGCUCCGGCUAACUCCGUG
rnacentral:rRNA from 1 species